AUGACCAGCUGGUCUGAGAGGCUGAAGAGAGCGGCGUGUUUAGAGCAGGAGGUUUUUGUACAGCCAGUAAACCAGUUUGUAUCACUGUGGUACACUUUUGGUGGAGGAACCAAACUGUCAGUUGGAAGUUUGGCCGCGCCCACCCUCACGGUCCUGCCCCCCUCCAGCGUGGAGCUGCAGCAGGGGAAGGCCACACUCGUGUGUUUGGCCAACAAGGGCUUCCCCUCAGACUGGAGGCUGAGCUGGAAGGUGGACGGGAGCAGCUGGAGCUCGGGGGUUAGCCAGAGCCCCGGGCUUCUGCAGAAGGACGACGGCCUCUACAGCUGGAGCAGCACCCUGACCCUCCAGGCGGACCAGUGGCUAAAGAAGACAGUGACCUGUGAGGCCACCAAGGACUCCCAGACUCCUGUCAGCCAAACCCUGAGGAGAGAGCAAUGCACUGGGCAGUGAGCGUCCACGCGUGUGUUGGAGCUGCUAGAGCUCCUCUUGAUCUUCAGUGAGCUCAAACAUGGCUCUGCUUAAUGCUCUGAUCUUCAUCUCAUCACUUCACCAUCACAAUAAAGAGUAUUAGUUUUAAUAUCUA